CCCUUCGGGGUGUUUUAAUAGAGAACGGGUGAGUAACACGUGGGCAAUCUGCCCUUCACUCUGGGACAAGCCCUGGAAACGGGGUCUAAUACCGGAUAAUACUUUCCUCCUCCUGGAGGAAGGUUGAAAGCUCCGGCGGUGAAGGAUGAGCCCGCGGCCUAUCAGCUAGUUGGUGGGGUAAUGGCCUACCAAGGCGACGACGGGUAGCCGGCCUGAGAGGGCGACCGGCCACACUGGGACUGAGACACGGCCCAGACUCCUACGGGAGGCAGCAGUGGGGAAUAUUGCACAAUGGGCGAAAGCCUGAUGCAGCGACGCCGCGUGAGGGAUGACGGCCUUCGGGUUGUAAACCUCUUUCAGCAGGGAAGAAGCGAAAGUGACGGUACCUGCAGAAGAAGCGCCGGCUAACUACGUGCCAGCAGCCGCGGUAAUACGUAGGGCGCAAGCGUUGUCCGGAAUUAUUGGGCGUAAAGAGCUCGUAGGCGGCUUGUCACGUCGGUUGUGAAAGCCCGGGGCUUAACCCCGGGUCUGCAGUCGAUACGGGCAG
rnacentral:rRNA from 1 species